rnacentral:rRNA from 1 species
GUCUACGGCCAUGCCACCCUGAAAGUGCGUGAUCUCUUCUGAUCUCAGAAGCUAAGCAGGGUCAGGCCUGGUUAGUACUUGGAGGGAAGACCACCUAGGAAGACCAGGUGCUGUAGGCA